UGACUGCAAGGCCUGAUAUCCAGU
rnacentral:piRNA from 1 species